CCUACGGGAGGCAGCAGUGGGGAAUAUUGCACAAUGGGGGAAACCCUGAUGCAGCGACGCCGCGUGAGUGAAGAAGUAAUUCGUUAUGUAAAGCUCUAUCAGCAGGGAAGAAAAUGACGGUACCUGAGUAAGAAGCCCCGGCUAACUACGUGCCAGCAGCCGCGGUAAUACGUGGGGGGCAAGCGUUAUCGGGAUUUACUGGGUGGAAAGGGAGCGUAGACGGCAGUGCAAGUCUGGAGUGAAAGGCGGGGGCUCAACCCCCGGACUGCUCUGGAAACUGUACGGCUGGAGUGCAUGAGAGGUAAGUGGAAUUCCUAGUGUAGCGGUGAAAUGCGUAGAUAUUAGGAGGAACACCAGUGGCGAAGGCGGCUUACUGGACUGUAACUGACGUUGAGGCUCGAAAGCGUGGGGAGCAAACAGGAUUAGAUACCCUAGUAGUC
rnacentral:rRNA from 1 species